rnacentral:rRNA from 1 species
GACGAACGCUGGCGGCGUGCUUAACACAUGCAAGUCGAACGGAAAGGCCCUGCUUUUGUGGGGUGCUCGAGUGGCGAACGGGUGAGUAACACGUGAGUAACCUGCCCUUGACUUUGGGAUAACUUCAGGAAACUGGGGCUAAUACCGGAUAGGAGCUCCUGCUGCAUGGUGGGGGUUGGAAAGUUUCGGCGGUUGGGGAUGGACUCGCGGCUUAUCAGCUUGUUGGUGGGGUAGUGGCUUACCAAGGCUUUGACGGGUAGCCGGCCUGAGAGGGUGACCGGCCACAUUGGGACUGGGAUACGGCCCAGACUCCUACGGGAGGCAGGAGUGAGGAAUAUUGCACAAUGGGCGGAGGCGUGAUGCAGCAACGCCGCGUGCGGGAUGACGGCCUUCGGGUUGAAAACCGCUUUCGCCUGUAACGAAGCGUGAGUGACGGUAAUGGGUAAGAAGCACCGGCUAACUACGUG